GUGGGGAAUAUUGGGCAAUGGGCGCAAGCCUGACCCAGCAACGCCGCGUGAAUGAAGAAGGUCUUCGGAUUGUAAAGUUCUGUGACUGGGGACGAAAAAAAUGACGGUACCCAGAGAGGAAGCUCCGGCAAACUACGUGCCAGCAGCCGCGGUAAUACGUAGGGAGCAAGCGUUGUCCGGAAUGACUGGGCGUAAAGGGUGCGUAGGCGGUUUCGUAAGUUAGAAGUGUAAUCCCGGGGCUUAACCCCGGAGCUACUUCUAAGACUGCGGGACUUGAGUGUGGGAGAGGUAAGUGGAAUUCCUAGUGUAGCGGUGGAAUGCGUAGAUAUUAGGAGGAACACCAGUGGCGAAGGCGGCUUACUGGACCAUAACUGACGCUGAGGCACGAAAGCGUGGGGAGCAAACAGGA
rnacentral:rRNA from 1 species